rnacentral:rRNA from 1 species
UACGUAGGGUGCGAGCGUUAAUCGGAAUUACUGGGCGUAAAGCGUGCGCAGGCGGCUUUGCAAGACAGAUGUGAAAUCCCCCGGCUUAACCUGGGAACUGCGUCUGAUACUGGAAGGCUUGAGUAUGGGAGAGGGAUGUAGAAUUCCAGGUGUAGCGGUGAAAUGCGUAGAUAUCUGGAGGAAUACCGGUGGCGAAGGCGGCAUCCUGGACCAUUACUGACGCUGAGGCGCGAAAGCUAGGGGAGCAAACGGG